AGUGGCGAACGGGUGAGUAAAGUAUCGGAACGUGCCCAGUCGUGGGGGAUAACGUAGCGAAAGUUACGCUAAUACCGCAUACGAUCUAUGGAUGAAAGCGGGGGAUCGCAAGACCUCGCGCGAUUGGAGCGGCCGAUAUCAGAUUAGGUAGUUGGUGGGGUAAAGGCUCACCAAGCCGACGAUCUGUAGCUGGUCUGAGAGGACGACCAGCCACACUGGGACUGAGACACGGCCCAGACUCCUACGGGAGGCAGCAGUGGGGAAUUUUGGACAAUGGGCGCAAGCCUGAUCCAGCCAUGCCGCGUGCAGGAUGAAGGCCUUCGGGUUGUAAACUGCUUUUGUACGGAACGAAAAGGUUUGGCCUAAUAAGCUGAGCUCAUGACGGUACCGUAAGAAUAAGCACCGGCUAACUACGUGCCAGCAGCCGCGGUAAUACGUAGGGUGCGAGCGUUAAUCGGAAUUACUGGGCGUAAAGCGUGCGCAGGCGGUUAUGUAAGACAGAUGUGAAAUCCCCGGGCUCAACCUGGGAACUGCGUUUGUGACUGCAUCACUCGAGUACGGCAGAGGGAGGUGGAAUUCCGCGUGUAGCAGUGAAAUGCGUAGAUAUGCGGAGGAACACCGAUGGCGAAGGCAGCCUCCUGGGCCAGUACUGACGCUCAUGCACGAAAGCGUGG
rnacentral:rRNA from 1 species